rnacentral:rRNA from 2 species
UUCCCCUAGUAACUGCGAGUGAAGCGGGAAAAGCUCAAAUUUAAAAUCUGGCAGCCUUUGGUUGUCCGAGUUGUAGUCUGGAGAAGCGUCUUCCGCGCUGGACCGUGUACAAGUCCCUUGGAAUAGGGCGUCAUAGAGGGUGAGAAUCCCGUCUUUGACACGGACUCCCAGUGCUUUGUGAUGCGCUCUCAAAGAGUCGAGUUGUUUGGGAAUGCAGCUCAAAAUGGGUGGUAAAUUCCAUCUAAAGCUAAAUAUUGGCGAGAGACCGAUAGCGAACAAGUACCGUGAGGGAAAGAUGAAAAGCACUUUGGAAAGAGAGUUAAACAGUACGUGAAAUUGCUGAAAGGGAAACGCUUGAAGUCAGUCGCGUCAUGCAGAACUCAGCCUGGCUUUUGCUCGGUGUAUUUUCUGCAUGACGGGCCAGCAUCAGUUUUGGUCGCUGGAAAAAGUCUUCAGGAAUGUGGCACCUUCGGGUGUGUUAUAGCCUGGAGUCGUAUACAGCGGCUGGGACUGAGGAUCGCAGCGCGCCUUUAUGGCUGGGGUUCGCCCACAUUCGCGCUUAGGAUGCUGGCGUAAUGGCUUUAAACGACCCGUCUUGAAACACGGACCAAGGAGUCUAACACACCUGCGAGUGUUUGGGUGGAAAACCCGAGCGCGUAAUGAAAGUGAAAGUUGGGAUCCCUGUCGUGGGGAGCACCGACGCCCGGACCAGACCUUCUGUGACGGCUCCGCGGUAGAGCAUGUGUGU